AUUUACGUUGAAUAUUCGGGAAAACAUCAUCUGACAUUGACAUAAGCUGUAGAACAUAUAUAUGGCAUCACUGGAGAUUGCCAAAGCAGGCUGGUUAUGGAGACAAAGUUCAAUUUUGAAGAGAUGGAAGAAAGAAUGGUUUGUGCUCUACCAGAAUGGAGACUUGAGAUAUUUUGAGAACCCAGACAGCCAUGAGCCUGAAGCCCGCAUUGUUGUCCCUGCUGUCUGUAAAUACAUUACAACUGGAACAUCGGUGGAUGCUACUCCUCCAGAUGGGAAAUCAAAAGAUUGUUUACUGUGUCUGGUGAUCAAGGAUGGGGAAUUGAAACUGUGUGCUGAAGAUGCUGAUGACAUGAGAGCUUGGCAGAUAGCAUUUGAAGAGGCGCGCACCAUACUUCCUCCCUCUGGCAACCCCCCUCCAUAUAAUGCAACUGUGAUGUACCCCGGGCAGCAAGAGGUGCAACAUCACUACCCCAUACAAGUGGGGGGCCCAUCCAACAUUGUUUACACCAGCUCCUACCCCAGGGUAGGAGGAGGGUAUCCAGGCCAAAUUAUUGCUUUACCUGAUGGGACCCAAGUGAUGCAGCCCAGUAAUGUGGUGUACGUUAACGACCCCUACUAUCAUCGCCGCCGCUACGACUCCUCCGAUGUGGCACUGGGGGUGGUGGCUGGUGCAGCAGUAGGAUCUCUCAUGUGGGGACCAAUGUUGUGGUGGUAAUCAUGCCAGGCUAUCUGCACAAGGCAUUUCCAUAGUAAACUACAACCCCCUUUCCACCUCUUCAAACUUAAUAACUAUUAGUUUAAUAGUGAGAUGGCAAUUUACAAAACUGCAUUAAUUGACUCGUUACUUUGUUAUUGUAUUGUAAUAUCAUAUGACCAUAGAAUUAUUAACACAUAUAUUUUAAGAACUUUAAGUCUUUGUUUGCAUAUGUUUCACAACUUAACUUGCUUUUUAGAUAUUCACGCAGCAAAUAGAUAUGUAAAUAUGUGCAAUAUUUUCCUUUAUGGGUUUUAGCUCACCUGAGCUGAAUGCUCUGAUGAGCUUUUUCUGAUCAGUUGACUGGCUGUCUUUCCUUCUGUAUGUAAAUAUUUAAAAAUUUUCAACUUUUAAGUACCAGUAAAGCUGAAUCGAUUUCAACCAAGCUUGGUACAUAUUGUUUAAAUUUUUUUAAGUGUUUGAUAAUCCAAAAACUUUGAAAAAAAGUGGGCAUCUUGAACACCUUUUCAACAUUGGGUCCCCAGGAUGGGGCGCAAAGUUCACUUUUAAAUAUGUAAGAAGGAAGUUUUUCUCAAGAACUAUAAUGCUCUAAUUUAUGAUAACACUAUACAAAUAUGUAAAUGAUAGAGAGCAAGACUUCAGAUCUGUUGUAUCUAUGACCCUUGUAAAAAAAUAACCUCCUGAGUGAGGUAAAUAAGAUUCAGUUAUCAAAGGAAUAUUAUAGGAAAAUCUUAUAAAAUGAUGUUCUCAAGAUUUAUAAUUGAACAAUUUGAUUUCACUUUUCAAGCAUCCUUAUAUACAUAGUGUAGAUAGUAAUAGUUUUUUUUUUCAAUUUGUGCAGUUCCCAAAAUUCUCCCUCUUUAAGUUCAGAAACAUUUCAAAAAGGAUACAAUUUCAAUUGCCAAGUGUUAGACAGGUGAGUGAUGUGGCCCAUUGGCCAUUACAUGUGUGGUAUAUUUUUACAUAAUAUUACAUUUCUUUAAGGCAUAAUAUUGUAUUUUGAUUAACAGCAAAAGAAGGACAUUUUACAAAUAAAGUUUACAGCAACCUGUCUCUUUGUUGAUUUGUGUUAUUUGUAUAAAAUCAUUUAAGUCAUAUGAAUGUAUCGGUACCUUUAUAUUGUUAUCAUUAAAUUUAUUGGCAUUGAUUUUCCUUGAUGUCAGAGAAUAAGCAUUCCAAUUAGUACCUGGUUUUUCAAGAUUUUUUUGGGUGUGUAACAAUUGUGUGUUUUAUAUUUCAUUUUUCUUUGGUUAAUAUAUGAUUUUAUUGUUGAUAUACAUAGAAGACAGAAUUAAGGAAAUGUCCACAGCAGAAUACCAUCUUGUAUUAUGGUUUCAUUGUCACACAGCUGAGUUGUAUAAUAGGAUUAAAUGGCUUUUUCACUAAAGAUAAUUUUCUCUGUUUAUAGAUGAUGUUUUGGGUCAUUCAUUUUUCCAUUUGUAUUAAUUUUUUGUAUUAAUUUAACAUAGUGAAGGACCAGAGGAGUGCAAUUUUUUUUUUCAGAAAUAAACAGAAUACUGAGUACCUUUUUUCUCUCAAAGCAUCUUUUCAAGCUUAUUAUGAAUGUUUACUGUUUUGUUGUGAUCUCUUUGCUUAAAUGCAGUUGCAGUCUCAUCAUCAUAUUUUAAAUUCUUAUGGUGUUUUAUUAAUAUCCAAUCAGCCUUUCACACAAGUUUCCCAGGUCUGACAGAAAGUCAUGUGAGGGUGCAGUUGUUUCAUGAAAUUAUCAUAGUUUUCAUACCUUCAAAAACUGAAGCAUUUUGCUUGUUCCAUAGUUGGAUUGAAAAUUAACGUUCAGCCCGAAAAAAACCUAAAGAAUGAUGUUUUUGUUUUUGUAUUUUUUUCUAAGUCAGUUUGCUUUGGUGUACAGCAAUGUUUGUGCUUUGAGUGUUACCUACUCAUAAAAUUUCUAGCUUCAUGUAUAUUAACCUGUUUUUGUUAAAAUUGAUAAUAAAGAAAUUGCAUGU
rnacentral:misc_RNA from 1 species